CAGCCUGGUCUCGCCCACAGGGAAGGAGAAGGGGCCUCUGGAGAAGCUGUGCCAGGUGGGCCUGCUGCUGGAGACAUGAAGGACGGCACCAAGGAUGACAAGCUCUUGGUUGACCUGGACGCCGGCGAGCUGAAGAUGAUGGCCUUUGAUUGUGGCCCAUUCCUCCAAGCCGUGCUCCACAGCCCCUUUGCAGAUAAGUCCACACCCAGGGGUGCUCCCAGGCGUGGGCAUUGCACAGCCUGGCUGGGCACCGAGGAUUCCCCCCUUUGCUGGCCUCUGGGGAACGUGCUUUGUUCUUCAGCUGCUGCCAAGCUGCUUCCUGGCAGGGGGUGGACGGGUGCUCUGGGGUGGCUGUGAAAGGGGAGCCUGGCUCUGCCACUCGCCCUGCCCUGGGCGGGGGCUGGACUGGGGGCACCAGCCUGACAGAAACAAACCCCCGUGGGGGGAGCAAAGGUGGGGCUGCAGAACCUGGGCACCAGCUGCUUUGGGCUGCAGGCGAGGAGAGGCUUGGGCUGCCUUGGCUUGGGACCCUUUCUUUGGGGCAGUGCAGCAGGGCAGGGAGAAGGCAUGGGUUUGCCUUAGCUGGAGGAGCAGGGGGUUUUCUUUUGCAUGGAGGGGUUGGGCCUUCCUCAGAACCCUGACAGAAUGUUAACAUUUGACCUUUCUUUCUCGUUUCCACUUUUUGUUUGUCAUCUCUUUUCGUGAAUUUGUUGUUUGUUUCCAAAGGAAGAGUUGGAGCUGGUGCCGGGUCCGGCUUGGGAAGGGCUGGGACCGGCCCUGGAGUGGAUCUGACGUCCCCUCUGAGAAGGCUGAGGACAUCACUUGGGACACACUCUUCUUGCAGCAGCAGAUGCUGUGAGUUUAGUUUCCAGCUUGCUCUAUGUGGGAGAUGGACAUGAAGAGGAAGAGGAAGAACAUUACAGAAGAUUUGUGGAGACCUUGAAGGAGUCAACUGAGAAUGAAGAUGUUGUUCAGAUCUACUAAGGACAUUCAAAAACUAAAGACCUUGUUAAUUCAAUUCUAGUAUUGUUAAUGUAAAGUUCUUAUACUGUACUAAUCCUUAUAGGAAUCCCUAAGUAAGUUGUUAGUCUCUUUCUCCCUGUUCACCCAUUGGCUAAAAAAUGCUGUAAUGUAAUUGUCCCUUUUAUGGUUCAAGACCCUUCCCUCUUUGCCCAUAUGUGAUUGUAACCCCUCCCCUGGUUGCCUGGUUUGGGCAAGCCCCUCCUUCCCUUUCCAUAUUUGUUAUACCCACACCCAUCCUUCUGGAAGAUUCCCUGCUGCCCCUGCAUGAGGGGGAAGCCGUUUCAAUAAAGUGUUCAUUCUGGUUCAACCCA